AGACACAACUAUCGUUAUCUAACAAUACAGAUAAAUCCUAAAUAUAUUUGUAUCUAUCGCCAAUAAAGUUCCAUUUCUCUUAAGCCAAGAGUUGUGUUGUAUGUGCAGGAUGAAUGAUAGAAGCGAGAACUAGUUUGACAGCCGUAGAGCUUUGCCAGUUUACAUACAUGGAAUUAGAUUAAACAAAAGAAUACUCACUCUG
rnacentral:lncRNA from 1 species